UACGGAGGGUGCUAGCGUUGUUCGGAAUCACUGGGCGUAAAGCGCGUGUAGGCGGCCCACUAAGUCUGAUGUGAAAGCCCGGGGCUCACCCCCGGAAGUGCAUUGGAAACUGGUGGACUCGAGUCCCGGAGAGGAGGGUGGAAUUCCAGGUGUAGCGGUGAAAUGCGUAGAUAUCUGGAGGAACACCGGUGGCGAAGGCGGCAUCCUGGACCGGCAUUGACGCUGAGGCGCGAAAGCCAGGGGAGCAAACGGG
rnacentral:rRNA from 1 species